CCUACGGGUGGCAGCAGUGGGGAAUAUUGGACAAUGGGGGGAACCCUGAUCCAGCCAUGCCGCGUGUGUGAAGAAGGCCCUCGGGUUGUAAAGCACUUUCAGUGAGGAAGAACGCCUGGUGGUUAAUACCCAUCAGGAAGGACAUCACUCACAGAAGAAGCACCGUCUAACUCCGUGCCAGCAGCCGCGGUAAUACGGAGGGUGCGAGCGUUAAUCGGAAUUACUGGGCGUAAAGGGCGCGUAGGUGGCUUGAUAAGCCGGUUGUGAAAGCCCCGGGCUCAACCUGGGAACGGCAUCCGGAACUGUCAAGCUAGAGUGCAGGAGAGGAAGGUAGAAUUCCCGGUGUAGCGGUGAAAUGCGUAGAGAUCGGGAGGAAUACCAGUGGCGAAGGCGGCCUUCUGGACUGACACUGACACUGAGGUGCGAAAGCGUGGGUAGCAAACAGGAUUAGAUACCCUUGUAGUC
rnacentral:rRNA from 1 species